UCAAUAGCUAUUCUUUGGACUAUGCAUGAAUGGAGUUGUACUUGCUGCAACAAUGUAUUGAGGAAACACAUACAGAAAUCAUUCAUGCAGGUAUGCAUUGUGUUUCAAGAUUUUGAAAGUCAAAAUGCUUCAGUAGAACCAUACUCUAUAUGCUUUCAGUUAGCAAAUAUAUCAAGCAUGAGUAUGUAUUUAUUUCUGUUAUGACUCCUGUGGUCUGCAAGGAAUUGUAUGUUGGUUUUGGUGUGGUGUAUCUUUUAAGGGACAUUUUUCUCUUAGCCCUGUAUUGAUCCUUGUUGCAUUGACUAAGUUGGACUCAAGUCUGGAAACAUCACUCUUCUCAUGUGCACACUUCAGUUAUAGCUUUAUCAAUUUCAUUGUCUUAUUACAAAUUAAAUGACAUUCGUCCAAGUGGGAGAAUGUAAGACACUUACAUAUGGACUCAAUGACAUUUAUCUAAGUGAUAGUGAUUAGUUCAGUGACUUGGUGAUUAAGUUAUAAGAAUUUGUGAUGAGUUCCACUUUUGUGUCGAUAUUGAGAUUAAUAUCUGAUCUUACAUUGCUGAGUACUAGAUUCAUUAUUUGCUUAUCUUCAUAGGCAAGUAAGAGAUAAAUAUUUAAAUACUGAUGAUAAUAUAGAGGAUCAGUCAUAGUUAAACGGAGUCUCUCUUAUGGGUAGAACUCUGUUGAUGACACCCCUAUAUAAAUGAGGUCCCUGUGAAGUCUAAUAUACAAGUCUUCAUCGUCUUGCCCCAUAGUGAGACUGUUGGACUUUAGAGCUUUGCGGAAGAUCUCGUUUGCACUAUUUCUAUUCCUGAUCUAUGGCUGCUCCAGGUAUGUGACCAUUAACUCCAAUAUGUAUAUGUUUCAUAACUACUACAAACACUUGAACAUAAUUGUACCUAAACUAUUUGUUGGUGAUCUUGGAUGUUUGAAUAUAAUCAUACAUAUGUCUGCAGUAAGCUUGAUUGUGUUUAUAUUCUGUGUUUGACCUUUCAUCUGCUGCAUUAUAAGUUAUGCAACAAUGGUAGUUCUGAUUUGGUAGUCGCGUUCUCUGUUUCAGUCUUUUUAGGACUUUCUUGGUGUUUGCUUAUAUUAUUGUUCUUCUCUCCUUUAUCGCUGGCAUGUGGUUAGUACUUUCUGUAUCCUAUCAUAUCUUUUCUUACAUGUUUUUUGUGCUUCCAAAUGCAGUUUGUCCUCCUUAGUUUAUUUGGACGGCUAGGCAUGUUUCAAGGAGAAGACCUGUUAUUGCUUUAUUUUUUAAGGGGGUUAAAGUUUCAGCACUUCAUGUGGUACCCUACGAUCAUGCAGAUGAAUUUUAUCAGGUACUCGUAUAGUAGAAUGUUAUUGUGUGGUCUUUGUUCCUACAAACUGUGUGUGUCAUUUUAGUAUUUCUCCUAGUCUUUAAUCAUUUGGAUUUCCUGUAAACACGAUUAUGACAUUGGAUUUUCUUAUAUUUGCUUUUCAAUGCGUUUUGGCUUUGUAUUUGACCAGCUUAUACAGAACAUUGCUAUUGGAACCAAACCAGAAAGAGUGAAUAAAAAUUAGGAGGGUGUAGGGUUAUAGACUAGUUAAGCUUGAACAAGACACUUGAUUAAUUGAUAGCCUGUUACUUUUGUGGUUAGCUUAAGGCUAUAGAACAAAGAUUCGAUCAUGUCUAUAUUUUAAACAAGAAUGAUUUUUAUAUGAAACCAUGCUCAUGUUUUUGUCAGCUAAUUGUUGUUCAUAUUGUUUUUUUUUUUUUCGAUGGAAGAAACAAAAUACAACGCAAGGGUAUCACUACUUUUACAACCAAUUCCUGACAGCAGUCAGCAGGUAAAGUAGAAGUUCAAGAUGCAAGGUGAUUUGCAUGUCCAAUAUGAGCGAAUGCAUCAGCCAGAAAGUUGCUUCCCUCAUACAUGCAGGAACUGUAAUGUAUUGAAAAGAUUUGGCUAGCUCUUUGAUAUCUGCUAUUAGGGUUCUGAUCCUCUAAGGAAUACUUGUUUAUCCAUUGACACAAUCCAUAAUUGAUUUGGAAUCUCCUUCCACCUGAAUUUUAUUGUAUCCAUGUAAAACUGCAGCCUGAAGACCAGCACGAAGAGCUCUUGCUUCUGCUAUCAUAAUAUUUGCAUUUCCAAUAUAUUUGGUAGAAGCGAGUAUAGGGACUCCGUGCUCAUUUCUUAUUUCAAAAGCUAAAGCUGCUGAGCUGUUGUUCAUAUUGUUACCCGGCCACUCUUUCUUCUCAAGUGAGCUUGAAGAUUAUCUGAGGACAUAAAGCCACUAUACGGUUCCAGAAUAUUUGCAUUGAGCGUGUUGUACUUGCUGCUAUAAUCACCAUUAUUUGCUGAUUUGUUGUAUAACUUAUGGUUUCAAUAUUAUAGCACUUGAGAAUCGAUACAUUUGCAGAUAUUCAAUGGAUAAUUCAUAGUUUAGUAGCUUAAUUAGUUUAACUGUUUUACUUAAUGUUAUUACAAUUUGAUGGAAUGCAAAUCAUUUUGUGAAUUUGUGAUUCAGGAAAGAA